AAUACGUGUUAAAGGAUGCUGGUAUAAAUACUGAGGUUUACAGUGCACACAGUACUAGAACUGCAUCAACUUCUACGGCAAACACAUUGAAUAUUUCUAUGGACACUAUUAUGAAUGCAGCUACAUGGCGUAAUGAACAAACUUUUCAAACAUUUUAUAAUAAACCAAUUGAGGCGAAGAACUUUGGCAAUGAUCUACUUUCUGCCAUUUGUGAGACUUGAAAUGUGAAAUUUCAAUUAUAUUCUUUUGUUAUUAGUUAUUGCUCAUGUCCACAUUGCUUUAAAAUCUCACAUGACUUCCUAGUGACGUAGAACAGUGACGAAAUAGAAUUAGAAAAUUAAACGAGACUUACCUGAAGUCGAAGUUUGAUUGAAAUUCUAUGAGUUACUGUUCAGGAACUAGGAAGUCACCCACCCAACUACUAACUUACUUCUUUUCAAAUGAUGUUAAAUACUACUUGCCUCCCAAUAUCUAUGUGGACGUUCGCAAAUUUUUAAAAACUGAUCUUGAUAUCGCGCGCUCUAUCUCACAUGACUUCCUAGUUCCUGAACAGUAACUCAUAGAAUUUCAAUCAAACUUCGACUUCAGAGGGGUCAGUUAUGGUAGCCACUUCAGGCAAAAAUCAACAUCGAAUGCGGAAGCAGUCAAGACAAGAUGUCUCAUUGAAGACUGUCAAUUCUUCGGCAUCCCAGAGAAUGAUAACUUGUGUUCACAAUGUUAUGCAAAGGCAUUGCAACUUGAUUAUGACUUAGAGUCUGAGAAGAAGAUCAAAAUUGAAGAAGAAAGAGCUAGAAAGAAAUGGCAAAUAGCACAACAGCAAAAGAAUACAAAUCAUGACUUGCACAGGCUUUAUUAUGUAAAUGAACCCCACUAUUAUCAGGUUGUGGAUGUUUUGGUACAGAAGAAGAUCAGGGUCUUUGUCAUAAAUGUUUAAAGAAGAAAGAAAUGCUUUUCUUAGAAUAGACAGUUGGUGUGAACAGUUUUCAACAAAUUUUGUUUCAAUGAACAAGAAAUAUUGUCAUUCUAUAAGGUUUAAAUCUUCAUAUCUAAAGAACUGUAUUGAUAUUAGUAAUAAAGUAAUAUAUUCGCUUCCUUA